UACGUAGCGGGCAAGCGUUGUCCGGAUUUAUUGGGCGUAAAGAGCGUGUAGGCGGUCUGGUAGGUCCGUUGUGAAAACUCGAGGCUCAACCUCGAGACGCCGAUGGAAACCAUCAGACUAGAGUCCGGAAGAGGAGAGUGGAAUUCCUGGUGUAGCGGUGAAAUGCGCAGAUAUCAGGAAGAACACCCGUGGCUAAGGCGGCUCUCUAGUACGGUACUGACGCUGAGACGCGAAAGCGUGGGGAGCGAACAGG
rnacentral:rRNA from 1 species